GGCUCAUUGGUCUAGGGGUAUGAUUCUCGCUUAGGGUGCGAUAGGUCCUGGGUUCAAAUCCCGGAUGAGCCC
rfam:Tetraodon nigroviridis, WGS project CAAE01000000 data, contig: CNS0BRA1, chromosome: undetermined